UGAGAAAACAAACAUCUCAGGAGAAUAUAGCAGUAGUUCCUACAGUAGUGACCCUGGUGCUUUACAUGCGCGAGAGGAAUCGGCGGCGAUUUUGACGCAUGACAAAAAGAUAGCCCUAAACUCUCGAGGAACGAG